rnacentral:misc_RNA from 1 species
UUUUUGCCCUACUCUGUUGGGGUUCUUUAAAAAUCUGUAUUUUUGAGGGUUCUUGAAAAAAAAUUGGAUUUUUUCAUCUGGAAUGCGAAUCUUGGUUAAGGAUAUAAUCUGGGUUGUGUUUUUCUUGGUUCAAAAUCUGAUCUUUUUUGCUUUACAGUUUGGGAUUGAAGAACAAUCAUGCCUACUCUUGUUAAUUACAGUGGUGAUGAUGAGUUCUACUCUGGUGGAUCGUUUUGUUCUGCAGAUUUGGGUCUCAUGUUGUCUUUGGGUCAUGCUGAUGUUUACUGUCCUCCUAGGAAGAGGGCUAGAAUUAGUGGCCCGUUUGUUGUCGAAGACCGAUCAAAGGAUCCAUCUCUUGAGGUUCUUCCUGAUGAAUGCCUAUUUGAGAUCCUCAGACGAUUGCCUGGAGGCCGAGAAAGGGGUGCAGCAGCUUGUGUUUCUAAGCGCUGGCUUACAGUGUUGAGUAGCGUGAAAAACUCUGAAAUUUGCAGGAGCAAGAGCUAUAACAAUCUAAAUGACGCUAUAAUGAUCUCUAAAGAUGAAGAUCUUGAAGUUGAAUGUGAUGGAUACCUUACCAGGUGUGUGGAAGGGAAGAAAGCUACUGAUAUUAGACUUGCUGCAAUUGCAGUUGGGACGUCUACCCGUGGUGGACUAGGAAAGCUUUCUAUUCGAGGGAGUAACUCAGUUCGUGGUAUUACUAAUGUCGGUCUAUCUGCUGUUGCACAUGGGUGUCCUUCUCUUAGGGUCCUAUCAUUGUGGAAUGUUCCUUCUAUCGGAGAUGAAGGUCUCUUGGAGGUUGCAAGAGAAUGCCAUUCAUUAGAAAAGCUAGAUCUGAGCCACUGUCGUUCAAUCUCCAACAAGGGUCUUGUUGCAAUAGCAGAGAAUUGCCCUAGCUUGACUUCAUUGACUAUUGAAUCCUGUCCAAAUAUUGGAAACGAAGGCUUGCAAGCUGUUGGAAAAUACUGCACCAAACUACAGUCUCUUACAAUUAAGGACUGCCCGCUUGUCGGAGAUCAGGGAGUUGCUAGUCUUCUGUCAUCAGGUGCUUCAAUGUUAACAAAAGUGAAACUACAUGGUCUAAACAUUACCGAUUUCUCGCUUGCUGUCAUUGGUCACUACGGCAAGCUGAUUACCAGUCUUAAUCUUUGUUCACUUCGUAAUGUGAGUCAGAAGGGAUUUUGGGUCAUGGGUAAUGCUCAAGGCCUCCAGUCUUUGGUUUCUUUGACAAUCACCUUAUGCCAGGGAGCCACUGAUGUCGGUCUUGAAGCUGUGGGAAAGGGAUGCCCAAAUCUCAAAUAUAUGUGCAUUCGCAAGUGUUGCUUUGUUUCUGACGGUGGUCUUGUUGCUUUCGCUAAAGAGGCUGGAUCUCUCGAGAGUUUAAUCUUGGAGGAGUGCAACAGAAUUACCCAAGUAGGUAUCCUUAAUGCAGUUUCAAACUGCAGGAAGUUAAAGUCUCUUUCCCUAGUGAAGUGCAUGGGAAUCAAGGAUCUAGCUCUACAAACUUCCAUGCUGUCUCCAUGUGAAUCUCUUCGGUCCUUGUCUAUCCGAAGCUGUCCAGGAUUCGGGAGCAGUAGCUUAGCUAUGGUUGGUAAGCUCUGCCCCAAGCUGCAUCAAUUAGAUCUCAGUGGGCUUUGUGGAAUAACCGAUGCUGGUCUUCUCCCACUCUUGGAGAACUGUGAAGGACUUGUUAAGGUGAACCUUAGCGACUGCCUGAACUUGACAGACCAAGUGGUGCUUUCAUUGGCUAUGCGACAUGGCGAGACCCUUGAAUUGUUGAAUCUCGACGGAUGCAGGAAGGUUACCGAUGCAAGUUUAGUGGCAAUUGCAGAUUAUUGCCCAUUACUUAUUGAUCUUGAUGUUUCUAAGAGUGCAAUAACUGAUUCUGGUGUAGCUGCUUUAUCCCGUGGAGUGCAAGUGAAUUUGCAGGUCCUUUCCUUAUCAGGUUGCUCCAUGGUAUCGAACAAGAGUGUCCUUUCUCUUAAAAAGUUAGGAGAGAAUCUACUCGGCUUGAAUCUCCAGCAUUGCUCCGUUAGUUGCAGCUCAGUCGAGCUUCUUGUGGAGGCUUUGUGGAGGUGUGACAUCCUCUCCUAAACCCACAAAGGGCACAAGGAAAUGCAUUCGAAAUGGUCAAAACGAAUAAGCAGAAAGCUAAAUUGGUUCAUUCAGCCUGGCAAUUACAGAAGCAAACAUGAGUGUUCUUUUUUUAGCCCGUAUAUAUUCGUGGCUAUCUAAUACUUCAGUGUCUCGGUUGUUUUCCAGGACGCUAUGGCAUACAUCUUUUUCCCACCAUUUUUUGCAGGGCUUCGUCAAAUCGAAACCCUGUUUCAGCCAUUUUUGGAGACUUACCUCCAUCAUGCCAUGGUCUCCUGAGA